rnacentral:tRNA from 2 species
GGGGAUGUAGCUCAGUUGGUUAGAGCGCCUGCUUUGCAAGCAGGAGGUCGGGAGUUCGAAUCUCCCCAUCUCCACCA